GGGACGGGGAUCGGGAGCGGAGGUCGGCGGUCACAGGUCACAUCUGCAGGGCAGCAGGAGAGGUCAGAGGUCACGGAGGAGAACGGCAGUGGACAGGUAGAGACCGCAAACACCAGGAGUCAAGGGAAUGUGUUUGAUUCAUCUGAACUGAUUCACGAGUCGUUCCACGCCUGAUCUUCUGAAAGCACAGCGAGAGCUUCCGGAUCAUCCUGACGAGGAACCGCUAAACUGGUGAUGGUUAACUACCUAAAAGACGGGCGAGAACCAGCUGCUUUAGGGCGAAUGUUCCUGCUUCACGUACAGAAAUCUCGAGGUGUUUGUUCAGCUGGAUGACUGUAGAUGCGCUUCAGACUCUGUCCUCCAUCUCCGCACAUCAGAUGAACCUGAGGGAGAACUGAGUUCAUUCCUCAUCCUGAGGAACCAGAGUGACGGUUUGAACUAAAACCGGUAGUUCAGCUAGUUUGUCAUCAUUUACUCGGCCUCAUGUUGCUCCAAACCUGCAGGACUUUGUUUGUUCUGCCUCAGAAGAAAUAAACACAGAUGUGCUGACGCUCCAGAAAAGGUCCUGUGAGGGUGAAGCUGUUAUCAGGCGGAGGGUGGAGCUGAUGUUUGACCAGAUCCACAUGCUGAAGUUCAGAGCGCUGGAGGAGUUGGAGUUUGCAGCUCCUCUGGAGGAGGUGAAUGGUCUUAAGGACAGAAGGGCGGCGCUAGCUAACACACAC